rfam:Picea glauca, whole genome shotgun sequence.
AUGUACAUGCCUACAAUGUUAAUGCACCAGAUCCCAUUAGAACUCCAUAGUUAAGCAUGCUUGGUAUAGAGUAGUAUUGGGAUAGGUAACCUCUCAGGAAGUCCCAAUGUUUUACAUC